rnacentral:rRNA from 1 species
UACGGAGGGUGCAAGCGUUAUCCGGAUUCACUGGGUUUAAAGGGUGCGUAGGCGGGCAGGUAAGUCAGUGGUGAAAUCCCCGAGCUUAACUCGGGAACUGCCAUUGAUACUAUCUGUCUUGAAUAUUGUGGAGGUAAGCGGAAUAUGUCGUGUAGCGGUGAAAUGCUUAGAUAUGACAUAGAACACCAAUUGCGAAGGCAGCUUACUACACAGUUAUUGACGCUGAGGCACGAAAGCGUGGGGAUCAAACAGG